rnacentral:rRNA from 1 species
UUGACAUCCAGAGAACUUAGCAGAGAUGCUUUGGUGCCUUCGGGAACUCUGAGACAGGUGCUGCAUGGCUGUCGUCAGCUCGUGUUGUGAAAUGUUGGUUAAGUCCGCAACGAGCGCAACCCUUAUCCUUUGUUGCCAGCGGUUCGGCCGGGAACUCAAAGGAGACUGCCGGUGAUAAACCGGAGGAAGGUGGGGAUGACGUCAAGUCAUCAUGGCCCUUACGGCCAGGGCUACACACGUGCUACAAUGGCGCAUACAAAAGAGAAGCGACCUCGCGAGAGCAAGCGGACCUCAUAAAGUGCGUCGUAGUCCGGAUUGGAGUCUGCAACUCGACUCCAUGAAGUCGGAAUCGCUAGUAAUCGUAGAUCAGAAUGCUACGGUGAAUACGUUCCCGGGCCUUGUACACACCGCCCGUCACACCAUGGGAGUGGGUUGCAAAAGAAGUAGGUAGCUUAACCUUCGGGAGGGCGCUUACCACUUUGUGAUUCAUGACUGGGGUGAAGUCGUAACAAGGUAGGCGUACGUGU